rnacentral:rRNA from 1 species
UCCCCUAGUAACUGCGAGUGAAGCGGGAAAAGCUCAAAUUUAAAAUCUGGCGGCAUUGGUCGUCCGAGUUGUAAUCUGGAGAAGCAUUUUCUGUGUCGGACCGUGCACAAGUUUCCUGGAACGGAAUGUCAUAGAGGGUGAGAAUCCCGUCCAUGGCACGGAUCACCGAUGCAUUGUGAUAUGCUCUCGAAGAGUCGAGUUGUUUGGGAAUGCAGCUCAAAAUGGGUGGUAAAUUCCAUCUAAAGCUAAAUAUUGGCGAGAGACCGAUAGCGAACAAGUACCGUGAGGGAAAGAUGAAAAGCACUUUGGAAAGAGAGUUAAACAGUACGUGAAAUUGUUGAAAGGGAAACGCUUGGAGUCAGUCGCGUUGGUCAGGAUUCAGUCGCUCUUACCGGAGUGGAUUACUUCCUGAUGAACGGGUCAACAUCGAUUUCGAACGGUGGACAAAGGGGAGAGAAAGGUGGCACCUUCGGGUGUGUUAUAGUCUCUCUUUCGCAUACACCGGUUGGGAUCGAGGAUCGCAGCACGCCUUUAUGGCCGGGGGUUCGCCUCACGUAACGUGCUUAGGAUGUUGGCAUAAUGGCUUUAAGCGACCCGUCUUGAAACACGGACCAAGGAGUCUAACAUGCUCGCGAGUGUUAGGGUGGAAAACCCUUGCGCGUAAUGAAAGUGAAAGUUGGGACCUUCGUCAUGGAGGGCACCGACGCCCGGCCUUGAACUCUUGUGACGGUGCUGCGGUAGAGCGCGUAUGUUGGGACCCGAAAGAUGGUGAACUAUGCCUGAAUAGGGCGAAGCCAGAGGAAACUCUGGUGGAGGCUCGUAGCGAUUCUGACGUGCAAAUCGAUCGUCAAAUUUGGG